rnacentral:lncRNA from 1 species
CGUUGUUGUAACAAGGAAAAUGAUUUAGUUAGUAAGCCAGCGAAACCAGGGAGUUGGUGGACCUGAAAGACCACUUUAACUAAGCACGGUUUUAAGCUCCUUUUCUCAUUAGGCAAGGGGGAGACAGAGGGAAAUGUUAGGAAAUCAUUGAUAACUAAAGACUCCCAUGUACCUCUCUGGUGAUUGGGAAUGGUUAUAAAACCUGGUGGCUGGUGAUCUGUUGAUUUGACACACAGUCAUGAUGCCCUUUAUUAUAUCUUGAUAAUAAUCUUAGCUAUUCUUUAUUAUUACUAUCCUUGAAGUUGGGGGAGAGAGUGGGGAGUUUUCAGGUAAAUCAGUUUUCAAGAUGAUACUUUUGGGCAAAUUUUCCUUAAGUGAUUAACCAGGGUCACCUGCUCAGGGAGGUGUAGAUAUUUUCUAGUGAAGGAUAGAUGUGAGGUUAAAUACAACAAGGAGGAAGUGGGGCCAAGUUUUCUUUAAACCAUAAGCCUGGCUAUAAUUAUAACCUACACAUCAGAGAUAUUAUCUACAGCAGAGCUAGUGGGAUAUUAAUAAUAUAUUUCUCAGCUGUGUGACCUUCAAAAUUAGCGAUUUUUAAAAGUCAUCUAAAAGCAAUAAACUAAGAUCAAGUAAAGUUAAAGGGUUUACUUAGAUUUUCACUUGGUUUCAGUACCCCACCAUGCUAAGCUCUUUCCCAGCUUAGCAACUGAAUUCUGGAUUCAAAAUCCAAAAAUAUCAGAGGAACUCAAUUCUAAAAAGAACUGAGCCUAAUCCAAGAGAAACUAACUUACAACACUUGGGGCUCCAUGAUGAAGACAGAGGACCUCAAAAUGGUGAGUAGCACAUUGCUUGCAUUCCUAAAGGGGUCUCAGCAGUCUCUUUAGGUUCCUUCAUGGCCACCAAAAACCAUCAAAAGACAAGAUUACAAAUAAUUGAGUUUAAAUAUCUAGUUGGCUUUUAUUUGUGAUUAUAGAAUCAGGCAACACUUCAAUCUAUAAAAUAGAAUGAAUGUUCCAAUGAACAUUUGGAUGUUGGCUUUGUAGUCAGAAAAGGGCUAAAGAAAACAGAAAUUGGAAAUAAAAACAGGUUGAUCAUUUUAAAAUUACUUUUCACAUAGGAUUAAAAUAGAUUUCCUCUUAUUUCAGUCACUCAGGUUGACAGGAACCUCUUGUGUGUUUUUUGUUUGUUUGUUUUUUAUAACUGGCUUAUUCCUUUCAAAGUUCAGUUUCAUUAUGUGGUAUUUAGCACAAGUGACUUCCUUCUGAUUUGGUUGGUCUGUUGGGGCCUAGCAUAGCAGACUAUUGCAAAACAAUGGCCUCCCAUAAAAAAAAAAUUAACAAUUUUAUCAACUGCAGGCUCCCCAGUUAUCACCAACACUACCAACUGAUAAGAUAAAAUUGAGUUUAUUCUUCCUAAAGUAAGGGAGACCACACCUUGACCUCACCAAGACCCUUGGGGACAGUCUUGAAGGGAAAAAAGAAAAUUGAAAUUUAUUGAGAAUUUGAAGGUUGUUUUAAGAAGUCUUUCAAUGUGGAGAGGGGACUGAUGAUAAAAUUUAGUAUCUUUAUUUGUUUCUAUAUCCUGAAAACAAACAUGAUGUUUCUGCUAUAUGAGGGAAGAAUAAAACCCAUAGGUUUUUAGUUGGAAGAGACUAUUGAUACAAAAGACAGAUUUAUAAAAAAAAAAAAGUAGUUUAUUAACAUGUGUGUUACAUAUAUACAUGCAAAACACCAGGGAUGGCUUUGAAUGCCAGCUUAUAUAGCAUCUUCAACAAAUGACAAUAUAAUUUUAGAGGAGUGACCAGACAAAAGAAAAGGACUUGGGCUGGGGUUGUGGCUCAGUGGUAGAGUGCUUGCCUAGCAUGCAUGAGGCACUGGGUUUGAUCCUCAGCACCACAUAAAAAUGAAAUAAAGAUAUUGUGUCCACCUUAAAAAAAAGAAAGAAAGAAAGAAAAGGACUUUGGGUCUCUUGGGGGAAGGCAAAUAAAUGGCAGAAAGUGGCAAAAGUGUGACAGUGGUUACAACCUUUGUGGGUUGUCUUUUGCAUGCUUAUUCCUCCUCCCUUUGUCCUUUGGAAAUUUACUUUCUCCAGCAUUCUAAAUUCUAAAGAGAAGCCACACCUAAAUGACUCUGUUAGUCACCAAAAUAUCUGACAACUUAGAAGAGGAAAGAUUUGUUUUGGUUUUAUGGUUUCAGAGGUCUCAGUUCAUUGCUGGCCAACUCCAUUUUGAUGUGUGGCAGAACAUCAUGGCAGAAGGGUGUGGCAGAGGAAAGCUGCUCAGCUUAUGGCAACUGGGAAGCAGAGAAAGAGAGAGAAAGAGCCAGAGGCAGGGUAGAGAUUCCAAGACCACACCCUCAGAGACCUACUUCCUCCAGCCACACCUCACCCACCAACAGUUACCACCCAGUAGUUUAUUCAGCUAUCAAUGGGUUAAUUCAACAAAUGGGUUAAUCCACCAGAGAGGUCAGAGUCCUAGUUAUUGCUUAAAUGCCCCACCUCUGAAUCUUGUUGCAUGUGGGAUCACAACACAUGAACUUUUGGAGAGCAGUCCAGAUCUAAACCAUAGCAAUAAUUAAACUGUUAACUACUAAAUAAUAUUUCUUUAGGUUUAUAGAACCCAGAACCUCUGGAACCUUCAGACUGUUUCAGAACAUGUAAUGUCCCUCCUUAUUCUUCAGUUCUCUAUAUCAAUUAACAUAUAGCAUGUAAAUUGCUAUGAGGUUUAAUUUUCAAAAAAGUAAUAUAUCUAAAAAACUACAGGAACUAACCCCAGAAGACUGAGAUCCAUCAAAAUGUUCUAGUUAGGAAAAGAGGAGAGAAGGACGCUGUGGAUGAGGAAGGACCUACUAGCAUGUAGGCUUCCUCCCUAUUGUUACCUGUAUCUCUUUUCCCUCCAUUAAAAUCUCUUUCAUUUACCUGAGUUACCCAAGAUGGAGCUUUGAGGAUAAUGUCUUCUCCAACUUCUCAGGAUGCUGGCCCUUGCAUAAAACGGAUUUACUUCUCAUCAACUCUUUUCUUCCAAGUAUUGGUUUUAUUGGUGAGCAACAGGACCUGGGUCUGAUGACAAAAGUAAAGACUGUUACUGUAAAUUCCUCUGAUACAUUUUGAAAGUUGUCUUCAAUAGUCAACUUUUGGUGGAGGGCAAAGAAGGAUAGCUUUUGUCUUUGUAAAUCUUUCUUGCAUCUGCUGCUUUUUAAGCACUUUUACCUUAAUAAUUCCUCAUAUUUUGGGUGACAUAUUUAUGAUCUCUCAAACUGGAUCUAGAUAGUGAUAAAAAGGAAAUUUGGGGAUGUUUACACUACCAGGGCUGGAGGUUGGAAAGGGUAAAACAUAAAGGAAACUAAUUGAUUAACAAGUGUGGGAGAAAAUAAGACGAUUUCACAUCCUGAAUAUAUGCUGAAACUCUGACUUAAAUCACAACACUGCCAAUCCUAGGACCAUUGUUUGUAUAAAAUCUCUAUGUACUGUGAAUUCUAACUAGUCCAGAAGCAACAAUUACUUCUUAUGGACUGUGCUCCCAUCCCAAAGCUUUCCCCACUUCAUAUUAUCCCACCCAUCUUAUCUGUGGCACAUGUAGAUUCAAUGUGAACAGCCUGUGCUUUCAUUCUUCAAAUUUUUAUUAUAAAAAUACUCUGAGCUCUAGGUCAGUGGAUAUUUUUUUCAGCUGCUACCUAGGUUUGCUGCUGGUCAUUGCGGAACUGGUUCUUUUUCUGGUUAUCAUCUAUAGUAGUUCAAUGAACCCAUUUGUUUCAGGUUACUACUUAUUACAGUGAUAACUGCAUUAGUUCCAUACACCACAUUUUUUCACUUUUCUGGGAUGACAGAUAUAGAUGUGUAAACAAAGGUGACUUCUUGUAAAGGAACCCUAAAACUACGAAUCUAGCGUUUACAUAGGAUGAUUUUGCACAUCAUCCCUGUUCCCCUUCUGAAAGAGAGAAAGAAACCAAUACCCAGCUCUAAACAAAAUCUCCUUGGGAAAGAAGAAAAAGAUCACUUUAGAAUGUAAAUAAAUGUCUCUGGGGAGAGCUAAGGCAAACUUGGCAGGGUUUACAACCUUAGAAUGUCUCCAUGUCUGGGUUAUUCUCCUUUGAAUCUGUUUUUGGGUUUUCAUUUUUUUUUUCAAUUCUCCUUUGAAAUGUACACAGGGACCUCCAGGGAGGUACUUCCUAGAAGAUAAAUCUUUUUGGAGUUCACUGUGAUCCAAUUGUCCUUUAAUUUAGAAGAGUUGUUCUUUAACCCAGAUUUCAGUAAAAUUUGCUCAGCAAGUCCUAAUUAUGCAGGAAAGUGAAAAUGUUAACUUCCUGACACAGCCUUGAUUAAGACUGGAUAAGGAUCAUGAUCAGUAAUGGAAAUAAAUGAAGACCAACCAAUUGAGAACAUACACAAGCUAUUUAUUCAGAGCUCACUGUAGCAAAGGAAUUGGCCACUAUCACCUGUAUUUGGCACAGACUCAAAGGCAGGCAGAGGACUGGGAAAGUCUUGAGUGUGGAAAAAGAGAAUUCACAUAUGCCCUGGUUGGAGUCUGUUGGCAGGGAAAAAUUAUAGGAAGACUGCCCACACUUAGGGCAACCUAUGUGAUUGAUUAGUGGUACACAUUUAGCUUUUUCCAGUUGGUCCUAUAUUAGAAGCAAGGAAAGAAUUUAGGGAAAGUAGCAAGUAUUAAUCAAGUCAGGGUUGUUCGUGGCCAAUUUUGACAGCAUUAUUAUUUGGCUUCCCAGACGGUUUACUAGAGACAGGAGUCUGACUUCUUAUAAGUCUGACUUUUGACUGGUGAAAUGUAAUUCUAAGCUGGUUAAUGUCAUUAAUGGUUUGGUUUCCUCAGCUAGUUGCUACAAAUUGUGGGUCAGCAUUCUAUCUAUCUAUCUAUCUAUCUAUCUAUCUAUCUAUCUAUCUAUCUAUCUAUCUGUAUGUCUGUCUGUCUAUCUAUAUGGUAUGGCCACUGUUCAUUUGCAUAUUCAAUCCCUUAAAGAUUAAAUUUUGAGGAAAGGCAAAAUUUUUGAAGUAAGAAAGUCUUAGGAAAGAAGUUAUCAGUUGAUGCUUCCUAUUGAAGAAUAGACCCUCUUUGGGAACAUUUCUAUAGUGAACAAUUAAAUUAUUUGUUUGGAUAAGAAUAUUCUGGAACAGUGAAUUUGUGCGCAUGAGGAUAAUGGUAUAGUAGUCAUGUAAAUGAAGAAAUAGGUGGGGGAGAGUAGCAGAUAGAUGUGUAUUUCUGUAUUUAGUUGAAUGAUCUGAAGGGAAGGGAACCAAGAUUUGUUGAACAUGGCAAUUAUUACUCAAUUUUAUUCCCCUUUCCACUUUCCCUUGGCCAUGCAUGAUGUUAUGAAAAAGGUGGGAAUAUGAAAUGGAGAUUCAGAGUUUAAAUGACUUGUCCAAGGUCACAUUUAAAUUAUAGUAAAUUCAGAAUUCAAAUUCAGUUGUGGGACUCUCAAAUCUCACGCUCUUUCUAUAUUAUGCUAUUUCAAGGAAAGAGACGUCUCCAGAGAAGGGUCUGAGGAGUUCUCAAAGAGGCAAAAGAAUUCAACUCAUGACCAACAGGGAUUCUUGGCAUAUAUGACUGCUUUAGUCUGCUUUUUCAUCUCUGUGGCCAAAAGACCUGAAAAGAACAAUGUAGAAGAAGAAAAGUUUAUUUGGGGCUCACAGCUUCAGAGGUUCAGUCCAUGACUGGCUGGCUCCAUGGCUCUAGGCCUGAGGUGAGGCAGAACAUCACGGCAGAAGGGUGUGGUGCAGGAAAGCAGCCCAGGACAUGGCAACCAGGAAACAGAGAGAGCUUUGUCCACCAGGAACAAAAUAUAAUUCCCAAAGGCAUGCUCCUAUGACCUAUAUCCUCCAACUACAUCCUACCUGCUUGCAAUUACUACCUAGUUAAUCCAUAUCAGUGGAUUGAUUUACUGAUUAGGUUACAACUCUCAUAAUUUGAUUAUUUAACCUCUGAAUAUUCUUGCAUUGUCUUGCACAUAAGCUUUUGGAGGAUAUCUUAUAUCUAAACCAUAAUUGUGACAGAAAAGAAUUUCAUCAUGUGCCAGACAAAGGCAUAGACAGAGGUUUACUUAGGAAGUAGAUACAAUUCAAGGGAGAAUGCAGGCUGUCUCAACAGUGAGAAGCACCUCUUUGGGUUGGAGGGGUCCAAUGUUUAUACAGGGGCUGUAGUUAGGAGUUGGUGGAGGUGGAACUGCACAAAUUUUGUGCCAGUUUUCAUUGCACUUACACAUUUUUCUCAUUUUACAAGGGCACAAACCAAGGGCAUCUUGCUCAAGAUUUACAACUGUAUCUUCUGCAUCUCAGUAGCCUCUGGGCAUUUCCUUUGAGAGUCAGUCUCUCUCUCUCUCUCUCUCUCUCUCUCUCUCUCUCUCCUAAACAUCUAUCUCAACAUUGUCUUACAUAAAUUUAAAUAUUGCCCAAACCACCUAUUCACUGUCUUGCCAUGUGUCUAAUAGGUAUAUCCAUAUGUAUGGUUUGGAGAAGAAGAAAGAUAGUGGCAUGAUUCUGGAAGUACAGCAAAGU